GGGAGUGUAGCUCAAUGGUAGAGUGAUUGCCUAGCACACAGGGCCCUGGGUUUCAUCCCAGUACUGCCA
rnacentral:tRNA from 1 species